AGUAGCCUGAAAUGUUCGACACACUCCGGCGUUUUGAACCUACAAUACUUUAAACGGGAUUCCUAUAUUUUUAGGUAGAUGUCGGGCCGUCACUGCUGCUAUGCAGUAUAUAUUAGUUAACGUACUAAAACAACGGAAGGCAAAAGCCUAUGUGCGGUUGCCCACCUAGCGCAAGCUAGGAGUCAAAAACCGGAGCACGGCAUUUUGGGUGUAAG
rnacentral:other from 1 species